UACGGGGGGGAGCAAGCGUUGUUCGGAAUUACUGGGCGUAAAGCGCGUGUAGGCGGCUCGGCAAGUCGGGUGUGAAAGCCCUGGGCUUAACCUAGGAAGUGCACUCGAAACUGCCAAGCUUGAGUUCUGGAGAGGAAGGCGGAAUUCUCGGUGUAGAGGUGAAAUUCGUAGAUAUCGAGAGGAACACCGGUGGCGAAGGCGGGUCUCUGGGCCGAUACUGACGCUGAGGAGCGAAAGCGUGGGGAGCGAACAGG
rnacentral:rRNA from 1 species